GUGGGGAAUAUUGGACAAUGGCCGGAAGGCUGAUCCAGCCAUGCCGCGUGCGGGAAGACGGCCCUAUGGGUUGUAAACCGCUUUUGUUGGGGAGCAAUAAGGUCCACGUGUGGAUUGAUGAGAGUACCCAGCGAAUAAGCAUCGGCUAACUCCGUGCCAGCAGCCGCGGUAAUACGGAGGAUGCAAGCGUUAUCCGGAUUUAUUGGGUUUAAAGGGUGCGUAGGCGGAUGCUUAAGCGUGAGGUGAAAUGCCCGGGCUCAACCUGGGAACUGCCUCGCGAACUGGGUAUCUGGAAUGUCCGUGCCGUGGGAGGAAUGUGUGGUGUAGCGGUGAAAUGCAUAGAGAUCACACAGAACACCGAUUGCGAAGGCAUCUCACGAACGGAUGAUUGACGCUGAGGCACGAAAGCGUGGGGAUCAAACAGG
rnacentral:rRNA from 1 species